AUGGCUUUUAGAAAAAGCCUCAUUGCCCUAUGCAAUGCUCAGCCAUCAAAGACUUCUUUGGUUAACUUACAUCUUUUACAAUUUUCUUUGCCUCUUAGUCUUAAAAAAGCUCUCAAAUGGAUGCAGUCCCAUCAGAGACAGAAGAAUUCGCUACAUAUGCUGCUGUCCUCCAACAUAAUGAUCAUCUCUUGCCUCAACUGAUGUACUGUGUCCAGAAUUGGUGGGUUCUAGGUUCUGCUGACUUCAAGAAUAAAGGCACGGACCCUUGCGGGAAGUGUUACAGUUCUUAAAGAUGGCAUGUCUUAAAGAUGGCGCAUCUGGACUCAUUCCUUCCUCCCAGUGGGUUCCUAGUCUGGCUGCCUUCAGCAAUGAAGCAGCAAACCUUUGGAAUGAGAGCUACAGCUCAUAAACACAGUGUUGACCCAAAGAAUAAGCAGCAGCAAGAGUUAUUGCAAAGAACAAAAGUUCCAAGGACUGGAAGGUGACCAGAGCAGGUUGCCACUGCCGGCUCCAGCAGCCUGCUUUUAUUCCCUUAUCUGACCCCACUACAUCCUGUUGAUUGGUCCAUUUUACAGAGGGCUGAUUGGUCUAUUUUACAGAAGGCUGAUUGGUCCAUUUUGACAGAGUGCUAAUUGGUCUGUUUUGACAGAGUGCUGAUUGGCGCGUUUACAAACCUUGAGCUAGACACAGAGUGCUGAUUGGUGCAUUUACACUCCUCUAGCUAGACAUAAAAGUUUUCCAAGUCCCCACCCCACUCAGGAGUCCAGCUAGCUUCC
rnacentral:lncRNA from 1 species